GAGGGAAACGGGGAAUCGCCGGGAGCUUGGCCUCUCCCGGCGAAACGGUAGUCCCCUUCCUCUCCCUCAGUUCUAGUCCAACCCCGGAACCCGAGCCUCGCCCCCGGGCCCCCGGCUUCCGCCCACCGCCGGGUUCGGUCCUCCUUCGAAGACCUCAAAGGCCGGAGGUUUAUGGUUGUAGGCCUGGGGUAAUCUUGGAGGGCUGCAGCAAGAGUUGCUCUCGCUAGAGGUGCUUCUGUUCUUGCCACAUAAGAGUGAAAAGUUGGUCUCAUUAGAAAAUGAUCCUCAAUUUGAAGAAUAUGCUGAUUUGCAAACAAAUCUUUGUUAUUGUAAUGAUAUGCUUUGCGAAAGUGCAGACAGGAUAGUUGUUUCCCUCGAGUUCUCUUGAGGAGUAUGAUCUUUCCACUUUGCCGCACUCUGGAAGGCAAGUGAUUGUCAGAUUUGGACUUUGCAGCAAAGUUAUUGCCUCAAAAUAUCAAAGUUUUGUCAGUGACUGGCACAAUUGGAAAAUCUGUUGUGACUUCAUUUUCUGGACAGAUCUCUUGUCUUCUCCGGAGCAAGCUAUAGGGUCUUUCAUAAUCGUAGACCGACAGACAGGGCAUGACCUGAUAAAUUUCUUGGGACAACAUGGAAACUAAAAUUGACGUAUAAGAUGUCGUCAUCACAGCACUUUGACAUCCAUGGAAUGCAGCAUGAUAUCCUGAUCUUUUUCUAGCCAUGAUAUAGUUUAUCUAAUGCCCUUAAAAAUUUAUUUUGGCCUACAUUUUUUUAAAAGUUGGACAGUUAAGAUCUAAGCUAGGAUUUUAGUUGUGAAUGAAAAGGGCUUUCUUGAAGUAUAAGGCUAGGGUGUGUGAAAUGUUCUUGUAUAACUAUUAGGGGAAAUGAUUUGAUCAAAUCUGGAUCACUGAAUGUUCAUUGAAAUUUUGAGUUUCAUGGUAGCUAUCCAAUAUCAAGUCUCUCUCUCUCCCCCCUAAUGUCUAUGGAACCUCCUAUCUCAUUGUGAUCUGUUUAUAUGAAUAUGUGUGAUAUUCACAGGAACCACCAAUUUGUUGUUUGUUUUUUUUGAUGUGCCACAAAUGUAUUGUCAACACAAAGAAAGAAUAUAUGCUAGUUUAAUGAAGAAAAUCUUGAAUCAACUUUUUGUCAUAAAAGAUAUAUGUAUGCUGAUUCCUUCAUCUCCGUUUGAGAAAUUGUUGUUGGUGCAACAUUUCAUCCUUGUGUUUUGAUAUCAUGGUAGGCAAUGAAUUGUGGUGGAAGAUCUAUAGGGUUGUAUGCAUAUCUGUUCAUGUAAUCUUAUCAAUGGUCCAAUCUCUCUCUCUCUCUUUCACACACACACACACACACAGAUACUCCCUGGCUCGUCUGUUCAUGUAAUCUUACUUCCCCACCAAACCAAGACCGAAAGCUAAUUCUCUGUAAAAGAUUAGAAGACAGACCAAAUCCCAUGGAGUUCAAAAUGUUGAAUGGCCCUGGUUUACCUUGCAUUUCCCUUGCCAUUGAGCUGUUGGGUUAGAUCUGGCUAGAUUUCUAAUAUUUUUUUUUCAACAGUAUAAAAUAUAAGAUUUUAAUGUAAGAAAGUGUGCCAUUUAAGAUCUUAUUAAUCCUUGUAACUUACAGAUCUUCAAGCAAGCUGAGUCACUUUGGGUAUUGUAUGGAGACUUGAAAAAAAAAUAAACUGCAAAAACUUGUAAAAUAGGGACUGCCAAGUGGCUGAAUUGGCCUGCUGGUCCAUCCAAUAGCAAUUAAUAAUAAAUUGUAUAUAUGAAUUAAUGAUUGGGAAAAAUAACAUAGUAUACACUGUAUUCAUAUGAACACUCCAAAUUUAAGAGUAGAAGGUAACAUAGUAUCUACUUAGCAUCUGAGAUAUAUUUAUACAGUACUUAAAAUUAAUUUUCCAUAUAUACUUCAUUAGAGACUAUAGAUAGUU